AAGUCUAUGAACAUUUUCUUAUCUCUAUAGCCAUAUAAAGAUAUAUAAAUGUAAUUAAAAAGGCAAUCAAUUAACAUGAAAUGCAAUUUUAAAGGGAAAAGCUAGGUCCAGACCUAGAAAUGAGUGGACCUAGCUUCAAAUCUGGCCUCAGACAUUUCCUAUCUGUGUGACCUUGGGCAAGUCACUUAACCCCCAUUGCCUAGCCCUUACUGCUCUUCUGCCUUGGAACCACUACAUAGUAUUGAUUCUAAGAUGGAAGGUAAGGGUUUAAAAGAAAAAUAAAUGCAAAUUUGAAAAUGCAUUUUAUUUUAAAGUUCAAAUCCAGAGCCCCUGCAAAGUUUUCACUUGAAUCUUUCCUCUUUAGGGUUUGCUGGCAGAGAAGGAAUGCCCUAUGGGAUUUAAUAAUAUGGAAACAUCCUGAACCUACAGGAAACACACAUGAAAUAGCUGGAUAUAACUUCUGUAAACAGAACACCUCCCUCUGGGUAAUCGACUCCAGAUGGGAAGUUUGACCCCACAAGGAUGUAAAGUGAGUUGCCCAUUUUCAUCCAAGAAGUUGUGGUGACCCAUAAAUCCAGGAUGGAAAGGACUUCAUACCUGUAGCUUUCAAGUGUCAGACAGAUGAGAGGCAACCAGCAAGUAUAUGUUCCUUACCUACAAGUUUCCUUUGGCUCAAUGUAUGCAGCUGACAUAGGAGAAAUCAUGAGUAUUGGAGCCAAACUGAGGAAACUGGGGAAAUUGUGACUAUGUGGUGGUUCUAUGAAAAGCAAAAAUACUGAAGGGUUUGGGUUGACCAUUAUUUGGCUGGUAUAUAAUAAAGUGGAAGAAUUACUAAGAUAGCUAUAAACA
rnacentral:lncRNA from 1 species